rnacentral:rRNA from 1 species
UGCAGUCGAGCGGUAAGGCCCUUCGGGGUACACGAGCGGCGAACGGGUGAGUAACACGUGGGUGAUCUGCCUCGUACUCUGGGAUAAGCCUGGGAAACUGGGUCUAAUACCGGAUAUGACCACGAGUCGCAUGGUUUGUGGUGGAAAGAUUUAUCGGUGCGAGAUGGGCCCGCGGCCUAUCAGCUUGUUGGUGGGGUAAUGGCCUACCAAGGCGACGACGGGUAGCCGGCCUGAGAGGGCGACCGGCCACACUGGGACUGAGACACGGCCCAGACUCCUACGGGAGGCAGCAGUGGGGAAUAUUGCACAAUGGGCGGAAGCCUGAUGCAGCGACGCCGCGUGCGGGAUGACGGCCUUCGGGUUGUAAACCGCUUUCGACAGGGACGAAGCGUGAGUGACGGUACCUGUAGAAGAAGCACCGGCCAACUACGUGCCAGCAGCCGCGGUAAUACGUAGGGUGCGAGCGUUGUCCGGAAUUACUGGGCGUAAAGAGCUUGUAGGCGGUUUGUCGCGUCGUUCGUGAAAACUUGGGGCUCAACCCCAAGCUUGCGGGCGAUACGGGCAGACUAGAGUACUGCAGGGGAGACUGGAAUUCCUGGUGUAGCGGUGAAAUGCGCAGAUAUCAGGAGGAACACCGGUGGCGAAGGCGGGUCUCUGGGCAGUAACUGACGCUGAGAAGCGAAAGCGUGGGUAGCGAACAGGAUUAGAUACCCUGGUAGUCCACGCCGUAAACGGUGGGUACUAGGUGUGGGUUUCCUUCCACGGGAUCCGUGCCGUAGCUAACGCAUUAA